GCCUGGGUGGCUCAGUUGGUUAAGUGUCUGACUUCAGGUCAUCAUCUCACAGUUUGUGGGUUCAAGCCCCACUUCAGGCU
rnacentral:tRNA from 1 species